rnacentral:rRNA from 1 species
UACGUAGGGUGCAAGCGUUAAUCGGAAUUACUGGGCGUAAAGCGUGCGCAGGCGGUUAUGUAAGACAGAUGUGAAAUCCCCGGGCUCAACCUGGGAACUGCAUUUGUGACUGCAUAGCUAGAGUACGGUAGAGGGGGGAUGGAAUUCCGCGUGUAGCAGUGAAAUGCGUAGAUAUGCGGAGGAACACCGAUGGCGAAGGCAAUCCCCCUGGACCUGUACUGACGCUCAUGCACGAAAGCGUGGGGGAGCAAACGAGGAUUAGAGUACCCGGGU